rnacentral:rRNA from 1 species
GAUGAACGCUGGCGGCGUGCCUAAUACAUGCAAGUCGAGCGAACAGACGAGGAGCUUGCUCCUCUGACGUCAGCGGCGGACGGGUGAGUAACACGUGGAUAACCUACCUAUAAGACUGGGAUAACUUCGGGAAACCGGAGCUAAUACCGGAUAAUAUAUUGAACCGCAUGGUUCAAUAGUGAAAGACGGUUUUGCUGUCACUUAUAGAUGGAUCCGCGCCGCAUUAGCUAGUUGGUAAGGUAACGGCUUACCAAGGCAACGAUGCGUAGCCGACCUGAGAGGGUGAUCGGCCACACUGGAACUGAGACACGGUCCAGACUCCUACGGGAGGCAGCAGUAGGGAAUCUUCCGCAAUGGGCGAAAGCCUGACGGAGCAACGCCGCGUGAGUGAUGAAGGUCUUCGGAUCGUAAAACUCUGUUAUUAGGGAAGAACAAAUGUGCAAGUAACUAUGCACGUCUUGACGGUACCUAAUCAGAAAGCCACGGCUAACUACGUG